UGAAUACUGACGAAAACGAGGGCUACACGAUCCCCGUGCGUUUUGAGAAUAAAUAAUCGAUUUCAGUAAUGACAGCCAUGACUUUGGCAUAAGCAAUUUCACGCUGAUAUAAUAAAUUAUAAUUAAUAUAAUAUACAAAUCGAGACAGUAUAUAAGCCACGAUUCAAUCGGUAAAAUCGUAUUAUCCAAUCCAACAACAUGAAGCUGUUUAUAUUGUGUGCUUUUCUCCUGAUCGUUGGUGUAGCAGCGAGCACUGAACUUUUUUGCAUGUGUCACCCAGAACCCGACAUAUGCGCAAGCAACCAUAUAACAUAUUCGGGAGUAUGUGACAUGAAUUGCGACGCGCAUAGAUUAGGAGUCAAACUCUACGUCUUACACGAUGGGCCAUGCUAAAACUACAGUUCAGAAAUAAGUAAUUAAAUACUAUCAUUAUAAAAAUUAUAUUUUAUUAAAAACAAAUAUUUAUUAGAUACAAAAACAUCAUAUUUUGUAAAUUUCAUUAAUUUGUUUUUGUUUAGAGUAACUAUACUGCGGUAACAAUAUGUUAUCGCAGUAUAGAAAAGAUAAGAUCAACGAAAAUAAUACAAAUGAGUAAAAGUAUUUCUAUUUA